GAAAUGUGUUGAGGCGCAGUAGUUGACUGGACAUAUAGGGGUAAAGCAUUGUUUCGGUGCAAGCCGCGAGAGUAGUACUAAAUUGAGGCAAACUUUGAAUACUAGAUAUGACCUCAAAAUAACAGGGGUCUAGGUCGACUAGUGAGAUGAUGGGGGAUAAGCUUCAUCGUCGAAAGGGAAACAACCCGAAUCACCAGCUAAAGCCCUUAAAUAACCACUCAGUGAUAAAAUAGGUAGGGUGCAGAGACAGGCAAGAGGUUUGCACUCAAAGGUAGGGUAUUUCCCAUUUUUAUAGGAACUUUUGUACCAAAAACAAUGGUAUCUCCAAUUCUAGCCCCUCUGGGAUGUAAAAUAUAUCUCUU
rfam:Gossypium raimondii chromosome 5, whole genome shotgun sequence.